CCUACGGGAGGCAGCAGUAGGGAAUAUUGCACAAUGGAGGCAACUCUGAUGCAGCGACGCCGCGUGAGUGAUGAAGGCCUUCGGGUCGUAAAGCUCUGUCGCAGGGGAAUAACACAAUGAAUGUACCCUGUAAGAAAGGAUCGGCUAACUUCGUGCCAGCAGCCGCGGUAAU
rnacentral:rRNA from 1 species